AUAACAAGUAAAAAGCAAUGCAUGUAAAUACAGAGCAAGCAAGUAGGAAAGCUAGGCAUAGCACAGCAAAAGAGAGCAAAGCAAAAGAAGGCAAAGAAUGACAAAAAGCAACCUUGCAGGAAUGGAGGAAUCUGGCCAGAGCUGUGCCCCUGCUUGCCACAGGAGCUGCGCGGGAGGAGAAGAAUGUGGGCCAAAAGGAAUGGAGGAAUCUGGCCAGAGCUGUGCCCCUGCUUGCCACAGGAGCUGCGCGGAGGAGAAGAAUGUGGGCCAAAAGGUAAGAGGAGCUCCUUUGGGUUCUGGGCUUGAAGCAAAGCUGAGAAGCCAUGCCCGGAGGAGGUGUGGGUAGCUACAGGCCACCUUGCUAUCUCCCCAAGAGAUGAGGUGUGUGGGCUAGGCACCGGGCAGGAGUGCUGGCCAGAAGCAAGCAUCUCUGUGGAGGAAGGCAAAGGGCGGAGGAGGUUAGGCA
rnacentral:lncRNA from 7 species